rnacentral:rRNA from 1 species
UAGGGAAUCUUCCACGAUGGGCGAAAGCCUGAUGGAGCAACGCCGCGUGUGUGAUGAAGGCUUUCGGGUCGUAAAGCACUGUUGUAUGGGAAGAACAGCUAGAAUAGGAAAUGAUUUUAGUUUGACGGUACCAUACCAGAAAGGGACGGCUAAAUACGUACCAG